rnacentral:rRNA from 1 species
CCAGACUCCUACGGGAGGCAGCAGUGAGGAAUAUUGGUCAAUGGCCGAGAGGCUGAACCAGCCAAGUCGCGUGAGGGAUGACGGCCCUACGGGUUGUAAACCUCUUUUGCCGGGGAGCAAAGAGCGGGACGCGUCCCGCCUCGAGAGUACCCGGAGAAAAAGCAUCGGCUAACUCCGUGCCAGCAGCCGCGGUAAUACGUAGGGGGCAAGCGUUAUCCGGAUUUACUGGGUGUAAAGGGUGCGCAGGUGGCAGGGCAAGUCAGAUGUGAAAGCCCGGGGCUCAACCCCGGUAUUGCAUUUGAAACUGUCCGGCUAGAGUGCAGGAGAGGUAAGCGGAAUUCCUAGUGUAGCGGUGAAAUGCGUAGAUAUUAGGAGGAACACCAGUGGCGAAGGCGGCUUACUGGACUGUAACUGACACUGAGGCACGAAAGCGUGGGGAGCAAACAGGAUUAGAUACCCCUGUA